CUAGGAAUCUUGGGAAUGGGCGAAAGCCUGACCCAGCAACGCCGCGUGGGCGAUGAAGGCCUUCGGGUCGUAAAGCCCUUUUGCAGGGGACGAUGAUGACGGUACCCUGCGAAUAAGCCACGGCUAACUACGUGCCAGCAGCCGCGGUAAUACGUAGGUGGCAAGCGUUGUCCGGAUUUACUGGGCGUAAAGGGCGUGCAGGCGGUCUGUUAAGUUCAGGGUGAAAGCUCCCGGCUCAACUGGGAGAGGUCCUUGGAUACUGGCAGACUUGAGGAGGGUAGAGGAGAGUGGGAUUCCCGGUGUAGUGGUGAUAUGCGUAGAUAUCGGGAGGAACACCAGUGGCGAAGGCGGCUCUCUGGGCCCUACCUGACGCUGAGACGCGAAAGCGUGGGGAGCGAACCGGAUUAGAUACCCGGGUAGUCCACGCCGUAAACUAUGGACACUAGGUGUAAGGGGUAUCGACCCCCUUUGUGCCGAAGCUAACGCAAUAAGUGUCCCGCCUGGGGAGUACGGCCGCAAGGCUA
rnacentral:rRNA from 1 species